GAUGAAGAACGCAGCGAAAUGCGAUAAGUAGUGUGAAUUGCAGAAUUCAGUGAAUCAUCGAAUCUUUGAACGCACAUUGCGGCCAUAGGUAUUCCUUUGGCCAUGCCUGUUCGAGCGUCAUUUACACCCUCAAGCCUAGCUUGGUGUUGGGCGUCUGUCCCGCCGUUCUCGCGCGCGGACUCGCCUCAAAGUCAUUGGCGGCGGUCGUGCCGGCCCCCUCGCGCAGCACAUUUGCGCUUCUCGGAGGCCCGGCGGAUCCGCGCUCCAGCAAGACCUUUCACGACUUGACCUCGGAUCAGGUAGGGAUACCCACUGAACUUAAGCAUAUCAAUAAGCGGAGGA
rnacentral:misc_RNA from 1 species